GUGUUAAGUGGAAAAGGAUGUGGGAUUUCGAAGACAACUAGGAUGUUGGCUCAGAAGCAGCCACACAUUAAAAGAGUGCGUAAUAGCUCACUAGUCGAGAGGUCCUGCGCCGAAAAUGUCCGGGGCUGAAACACGACACCGAAGCUUAGGAACAGAAAUGUUGGUAGAGGAGCAUUGUUAGCGGAACGAAGCCAUACCGGAAGGAGUGGUGGACUGCUAAGAAGAGAGAAUGCCGGAAUGAGUAGCGAGAUUGAAGUGAGAAUCUUCAAGGCCGAAUAUCUAAGGUUUCCAGGGUAAAGCUGAUCUGCCCUGGGUAAGUCGGGACCUAAGGCGAGGUCGAAAGACGUAGCCGAUGGACAACAGGUUGAAAUUCCUGUACUGCGAUAUAUCAGAAAUGUGGGGACACAGAAGGAAAGUGUGAGCCGGGAAAGGAAAGACCGGUGCAAGCACAGGAGGAGAGAUACAGGCAAAUCCGUAUCUUAAUCCAAUGGUGUUACGCGGAGCGAACAAAAGUAGCGAAGCACAUGGACCAUCUGUCGAGAAAAGCCGCUAUAGUGUAUAUUGUACCCGUACCGUAAACCGACACAGGUGGAUGAGGAGAGAAUCCUAAGGCCGGCGGGAGAAGCAUUGUUAAGGAACUCGGCAAAAUGACCCCGUAACUUCGGGAGAAGGGGUGCUCCAGAGAUGGAGCCGCAGAGAACUGGCCCAAGCAACUGUUUAGCAAAAACACAGGUCUAUGCAAAACCGAAAGGUGAGGUAUAUGGGCUGACGCCUGCCCGGUGCUGGAAGGUUAAGAGGAGAUGUUAGAGCAAUCGAAGCAUUGAAUUUAAGCCCCAGUAAACGGCGGCCGUAACUAUAACGGUCCUAAGGUAGCGAAAUUCCUUGUCGGGUAAGUUCCGACCCGCACGAAAGGCGUAAUGAUUUGGGCACUGUCUCGACAAUGCACCCGGUGAAAUUGAAAUACCAGUGAAGAUGCUGGUUACCUGCGCCAGGACGGAAAGACCCCAUGGAGCUUUACUCUAGCUUGAUACUGGGAUUCGGUAUUGCAUGUACAGGAUAGGUGGGAGACUGAGAAGUGAUGACGCCAGUUGUCACAGAGUCGAUGUUGGGAUACCACCCCUGCAGUACUGGGUUUCUAACCUGCGGCCGUGACCCGGCCGGGGGACAAUGUCUGGUGGGGAGUUUGACUGGGGCGGUCGCCUCCGAAAGGGUAUCGGAGGCGCUCAAAGGUUCCCUCAGAAUGGUUGGAAACCAUUCGAAGAGUGCAAAGGCAGAAGGGAGCUUGACUGCGACACCGACGG
rnacentral:rRNA from 1 species